rnacentral:rRNA from 1 species
CCCUAUGGGGUGCAGCAGGCAGAUCGUCCCGGAUCCUUCCCGGCCUGCUUCCGCCACGGCCCUGGAAAGCCUGUAGCGCAGUUCGCGAAAGUUUCCGGGAAAUUCAAGCUUUUCCAGGUGCUCGAUGGCAUCGAGUGAAAUCCUCUCGGCCUGGAAGGAUUUUUCACCCAGCCUCGGGUUGACCUCCGGGUCCUGGAGCGUCGUGCUGAUCAGCAGCCUGAGAUCAGCCUUCCGUUCCCGGAGGGGCGGCACUUCGAUCACGUAGUCAAAGCGAUGGAAAAGGUCGCUCCGGAACCGUUCCGACCCCUCGGCCGCCCAUGCCUUCAGGGGCCGGUUCGAAGCCGCGAUGAUCGCCACCGGGCAGGGCGGGAGGGC